GAUAAGACAUGCAAGUCGAACGAGAGAAUUGCUAGCUUGCUAAUAAUUCUCUAGUGGCGCACGGGUGAGUAACACGUGAGUAACCUGCCCCCGAGAGCGGGAUAGCCCUGGGAAACUGGGAUUAAUACCGCAUAGUAUCGAAAGAUUAAAGCAGCAAUGCGCUUGGGGAUGGGCUCGCGGCCUAUUAGUUAGUUGGUGAGGUAACGGCUCACCAAGGCGAUGACGGGUAGCCGGUCUGAGAGGAUGUCCGGCCACACUGGAACUGAGACACGGUCCAGACACCUACGGGUGGCAGCAGUCGAGAAUCAUUCACAAUGGGGGAAACCCUGAUGGUGCGACGCCGCGUGGGGGAAUGAAGGUCUUCGGAUUGUAAACCCCUGUCAUGUGGGAGCAAAUUAAAAAGAUAGUACCACAAGAGGAAGAGACGGCUAACUCUGUGCCAGCAGCCGCGGUAAUACAGAGGUCUCAAGCGUUGUUCGGAAUCACUGGGCGUAAAGCGUGCGUAGGCUGUUUCGUAAGUCGUGUGUGAAAGGCGCGGGCUCAACCCGCGGACGGCACAUGAUACUGCGAGACUAGAGUAAUGGAGGGGGAACCGGAAUUCUCGGUGUAGCAGUGAAAUGCGUAGAUAUCGAGAGGAACACUCGUGGCGAAGGCGGGUUCCUGGACAUUAACUGACGCUGAGGCACGAAGGCCAGGGGAGCGAAAGGGAUUAGAUACCCCUGUAGUCCUGGCAGUAAACGGUGCACGCUUGGUGUGCGGGGAAUCGACCCCCUGCGUGCCGGAGCUAACGCGUUAAGCGUGCCGCCUGGGGAGUACGGUCGCAAGAUUAAAACUCAAAGAAAUUGACGGGGACCCGCACAAGCGGUGGAGUAUGUGGCUUAAUUCGAUGCAACGCGAAGAACCUUACCUGGGCUUGACAUGUAAUGAACAACAUGUGAAAGCAUGCGACUCUUCGGAGGCGUUACACAGGUGCUGCAUGGCCGUCGUCAGCUCGUGUCGUGAGAUGUUUGGUUAAGUCCAGCAACGAGCGCAACCCCUGUUGCCAGUUACCAGCACGUGAAGGUGGGGACUCUGGCGAGACUACCCAGAUCAACUGGGAGGAAGGUGGGGACGACGUCAGGUCAGUAUGGCCCUUAUGCCCAGGGCUGCACACGUACUACAAUGCCCAGUACAGAGGGGGCCGAAGCCGCGAGGCGGAGGAAAUCCUGAAAACUGGGCCCAGUUCGGACUGUAGGCUGCAACCCGCCUACACGAAGCCGGAAUCGCUAGUAAUGGCGCAUCAGCUACGGCGCCGUGAAUACGUUCCCGGGUCUUGCACUCACCGCCCGUCA
rnacentral:rRNA from 1 species